rnacentral:rRNA from 1 species
GCAACGGAUAUCUUGGCUCACGCAUCGAUGAAGAACGUAGCAAAAUGCGAUACUUGGUGUGAAUUGCAGAAUCCCGUGAACCAUCGAGUUUUUGAACGCAAGUUGCGCCCAAAGCCGUUUGGCCGAGGGCACGUCUGCCUGGGCGUCACGCAUCGCGUCGCU